UUUGGUACUUAGCAGGGAUAGAUACAUUUUCUCUGUCUGCUGCGAGUAGGUAUCCAGUGGGACCUGUUUUUUCUACAGCACUGUGUCACUUUGGAUAUUGCAAACUACAAGCCACUUUUCUGCGAUGUUAAUAGAAACUACUAUAUCAAUAAUAGUUAAUAGAAACUAUUAUAUUACUUGACACUUUAUGAAUUUUGUAUAAAGAUUUUACACCCAUA